UCAGCUUUUAAGAUAUAUGAUGUGAAAAAUAUUUGUCAAGAGAUUUUACAUCAGACCUUUAUUUCCACUGAUGUGAAAAACAACACGGUGGCAGUUUGGUAAAUAAAAUGAAAUUUUGUUAUAAAGAAUUUUACAUCAGAUCUUUAUGGGCACCGAUGUAAAAAGUCCAUUAAAAAAUAAAAUUACAAGGUGGCAAUUUCGUAAAUAAAAUUACAUUUUGUUAUAAAGGAUUUUACAUCGGAUUUGGAUUUGCACCGAUGUGAAGCAUGACCAAUUUCAACAAAACCCUAAUUUGCCUUGCAAAAUAAAAAUCAUUUUGUUUUCGUUCUCCUUCUGUUCGCUCCCUAUGUUCUUCAUUUUUCUGCCUCCGCCUUCAAUCUCCCUCCGUCGUUCGAUCUCCGUUCAGUUUCCCUCCGCUGACCGCCGUUCGAUCUCUUUUCUGCAUCACCCUUCGCAAUCGACGACGGCCCCACCGCGACCAGCCACUCGACCACGCCCUUCAGACCUCCCCGCGCCGUACGACCACCGUGAGAUCUCCUCCCUCCGUGCUAGCAACCCGACCACUUCGUCUCCCUUUCCAAUCUCCUCCGCCGUGAGUAAUCUUUGAUUGAUUUUUAUUUUUUUUCUGUUUUGCUUCACCUACUUUUGUUUCAAAAGCGAGGACAACCUUUCAUUCCAUUGCGGCGAAAGCGGAACGUGUUCUCCUUGACUUCAAAUCAGAUCGAGAUCAAGAGAAGCAAUCUCCUGAUAGCUUGACGAGGCAAUCUGAAGUUGAAUCUACAAGCAGCGAGAAACAGAGUAAGGUAAUUAGGAUUGGAGUUUUUUUUGUUGUAGAUUUUCCUUAUUCAAAUUGUUGUAUUGAACAUGGUGAAAAUGUAUGUACUUUGGGGUUAAUGCAUUUGGAUUUUGAUUAGGAUUUGGUAUAGGGUUAUGAAAUGAAAGUGUAUUAGUUUGUUUCUAUGAAUCACAGGCAGUGACACCGAAAUGAAAGUGUACUAGUGUGAUAUAUCUCAUAUUAAAGGUUAAUUUCUCAUCUGAAAGUUAAUCUCUUUUCUGUGUUUUAAUGGUUUGUCAGGUCUUGUAGGAAUUAUGAAAUAUUAUGGAGAUUCUUCUAGAUUGUCAAGAUCUUGUUCUCAAGAAUAUUUGUUUUUUCUACUGAUUUAAUUGAAUGGGAAUGUAAGUUUUCUAUGCAAGGAAACAAGACUGGAUGCUCAAACUUUUGCAAGGGCAAGUCACAAUCAACUUUUUAUAAGGUAUAAGGUUAUGCAUAAUCAUGUGUGACUCUAGUUGUCUCAUAAUUUUAGAUUUUUUUUCUCUAAAUAUUAUUAUGUUCAUAGAGUGUAUCAAGAUUAAGGGAAGAACUAAACAUAUUGUUGUUUAUGGAGGCAUCGUUGCUCGCCGACGCUGAUCAGUGUAGGAAUACCGCAGUGUAUCUUGACAGCAAUACAAAAUGUUUCUGAAACAGAGGUUGAAGAAGGGAAAUUUUCAAAGAGGAGGCUAUAGAUCCGUAACUUAUUAAGACUUUAAAUAUUUAGUUAAUUUACAUUAAUAAUUUACUUGAUUUAGUGGGUGGUAAUUAUUAAUUACUUUGAAAAUUUGAUAUUUGAAAUUUGAUUUAGUGUAUUAGUUUGUUUUGUUAGGUUAUGGUUGAAAGUUAAUCAAGGGAAAUUA